UCUUAUCAAGAGUGGCGGAGGGAAUAGGCCCUACGAUGCCCGGCAACCACCAAGUUCUUUUACUUGGAAAGGUGCUAAAUCCUACAAAUUCUUUUAUGAAUUUGGAAGAUAAGA
rnacentral:ncRNA from 1 species